rnacentral:misc_RNA from 1 species
CCGGUCUUCGAUUGCUUGAUUGUCCGAACAUGAAUAGUGAGUCAGCUAUCGUCUUGUAUCGUUACAUAAUCUGGAUAUAUUUAUUGCCUUUCAAAUAUUUUGCACGAAAUUCCGGGUGCAUUUUGAGUGUAGAAACUGUUCAUAUUGUUGUCUCAAAACCGAUCCCGCAUUUCCAACGAAGUUUUCUUUUUUCAAGUUUUCUAAAUAAUCAGGAAAAACCUCGAAAGUGUUGCAUCUAGUUUUAGAUAUUCUACGGGGUCCUCGGAUCUAUAAUGUUCAUAUUUUCAACAUCGAUGCGGUAACAAAUAAUCUUCUUCCUGACAUUCCCGAUAAUUUUUUUUUUUUUCAAAAAGUACGACUUCCAAAUGAAUUUUACCACCGAUCCAACACUUACUUAUCGUUUUUUCAUCAAGUAUGAUUUCUCUUCUGAUAUCCUUCUCUUAGUUCAUCUAGUCAUCUCGCUACAAAAAGAUAUUUGUUAAGCCGCACUUGUUCACUACUCGAUUUGUUCUCUCAAAGAAGAAAAAACGAUGCACUCUUCGUUUUAAAUUUUUUCAAAUUUGAACGUUGCCAUAAAUCGAGCACAUGAGUAAAAAAUCUGAAUAAAAUCUCAGUGAAAUUAAAAAUGACAGAAAAGAAAAUCAAGAAAUGUGGGAAAGCGUUUCUUUCAGCGGUUCAAUGUUGAGCUGUUGUAAUAGCGAACUCGUGUGAAGUGCAUUGAGCUUGAUUU